GAUGAAGAACGUAGCGAAAUGCGAUAAGUAAUGUGAAUUGCAGAAUUCAGUGAAUCAUCGAAUCUUUGAACGCACCUUGCACCCUUUGGCAUUCCGAAGGGUAUGCUCGUUUGAGUGUCAUUGUACUCUCACACUCUCCGAUCCUAUGGAUUCGGGGAGCGGUGGACUUGGGUGUUGCUGCCUUUCCCUGUGGCUCACCUCAAAUGCGUCAGUGCACCUCUUGGUUGGACAUAGUACGGCGUGAUAAGUGUCUUCGCCGGCACCUCGCAAGAGGGUGGCCGAUCGGGAGCUCUGCGCUUUCAAACCGUCUUCGGACAAUUUUUGACAUCUUGACCUCAAAUCGAGUAGGACUACCCGCUGAACUUAAGCAUAUCAAUAAGCGGAGGA
rnacentral:misc_RNA from 1 species